GAACGCUGGCGGCAUGCCUUACACAUGCAAGUCGAACGGCAGCGGGGGGAGCUUGCUCCCUGACGGCGAGUGGCGGACGGGUGAGUAACACGUAGGAAUCUACCUUAAUUAUAAUAGUUAGUGGGGGAUAACCCGGGGAAACUCGGGCUAAUACCGCAUAAUCUCUUCAAAGCAAAGCGGGGGAUCUUCGGACCUCGUGCUAUGAGAUGAGCCUGCGUCGGAUUAGCUAGUUGGUAGGGUAAUGGCCCACCAAGGCGACGAUCCGUAGCUGGUCUGAGAGGACGAUCAGCCACACUGGGACUGAGACACGGCC
rnacentral:rRNA from 1 species